UAGAAAAAGAAAGAGGAAAGAAAGAAAAAGAAGAAAAAAAGAAGAAGGAAAGAGGAGAGGAAAAGGGGAAAGAAAAAUUUUAAAGGAGUCAUCUACCCACCCACUUCCCCUCCCUUCUCUUCCCAUUUUGGAGGCGGCACAGGAGCCCCUGGCGCAGAACAGCUCGGCUCCCAGGCAGACUGGGGUUGGGGGGGGGGGGGCAGCGACUCUCUCUCUCAGGUACAGAACCGGUAGCUUCUGCGAAGAUGGAGGGGAAUUAGGCUUCUGAUUCCUCUGAAAUAUUGGCAAAAGGCUCCCCAAGGUUCGGCGGCGGGAAUGGGGCAGGGGAGACGGCUCUCCCCAGCCUGCACCCACCCCUUCCCACCUCGCCUCCCAAAUGACAGCCUGGUGCUGGCUCUGCGUGAUUUGGCCUUGGCUUCAGCCAAGCAGCUGAUGCAGAGGAGGCCCCGUUUGCAGGACUGACUGGCAAAGUGCACGCUGAAGAAAGAAGGAAGAAAUUUUUUAAAGCAGCUCUGGGGAGGUUUCUUGUUCCUAAAAAAAAAAAAAAAAAAAAAAAGAAAAAAAAAAAAAAAAAGAAGAAGAAGAAGAAAGAAAAGAAAAGAAUUAAAAAAAUUUUUUAACUGAAUAUUUUCCAAAUUCGAUCAGCCCCAGCCCCUCCCUGCGCCUCCCCCAAAUUGCCUUUUUUUUUUUUCCCUCCCUCGUCAAAGCAUAAACUACAGAGUUACAGUCUCUAGAUUUGGUGUAACGCUUCCUGCCCCCGCCUCCCCUCCCCGCCCCGCUGUCGGUCCUCUAUUGAAACACCUCGCCCAGGCUAGCGCACUGCGAGCUCACAUUCCCCCCCUUGCUCGGAAUGGUGUUACGGGAGCCUGCAGCCCUGCUCCGCUUCCAUGGACUGAUUAGCGCGGGGUGCUCACACACUCAAGCAGUGCUGUUGCUUGGCUGAUCCUCGAGCGACGUGAACAGUGAGAGAGCGCUACAUCUUCGUGGUGAUGCAGCAUUUCACAUGUGCUUAGAAAUAGCAUGGCCCCCAAAGUACCCUUACGUUUGCUUAUUUCUAUCGAAUAGUCAAUGUGAUAACUUUCUGUGACAUGUUCUGUUAUUUUUGUAGUUGUGUCGAUGUUCCUUUCAGCUGGUCCCAUAGCCCCCCUCCUCAGGAAGGUCUCCCCAGUGAAAGAACAAAAAUGGCACUGGCCACAGCUGCACUGGUGGACGCUCAAGCCAACUAUGAAGUUGAAACAAAGGAAGCGAUCACCUGAAGACACCUCUCCUGCUAAGCAGCCCCCCUAAAUGGUGCGAUUUCAGGCAAUAGAACUCCCAGAACACCAGGCAAUCUUUUCAAGAAACAGAAAAAAACUUCAUGGUGACAUCUAGAUUUCUCAGGAGCCAAGGACUUUCCCUUCCUCGUGUGUAUUCCUCUGUUUGUAUUUUAAUUCAAUGUGACAUUCAUUUCUCAAAUAUAUCCCCAGUAUGAAUAUGCUUCUUAAUGCACUGAUUUUUAAAAUAGAAAAUCGCACAAAUGUGUUCAUGUUUCAAGGAGUGAAAUUAAUGCUGUAAGUAGAUCCGUUUUUUAACCACAUGUGGUUUAAUCUGAAGAGUGACCCAAGGGAAUGUAAAGUACAUUUGAAAUAACAGGCAAUGAGAGACAAUCCAAAAGCUAAAAUAAUGGUGGAAACUCAUAAGGCAGCCAAGAGAUACCACAUUAUCCUACCUGACACCAACCAAUGAACCAUUCUUUUAAUCAAACAAGAUAGGUUCUGUAAGACAUGGUCACUGCCUCUAAAGAGUGUAAAUCUAGUUCGACAGAAAUAGGUAAACUUUUGAAAGGAUAGUAACAAAUCAGGUCUGUAGAUGUCAAGAUCACACCAAAAGAUAUAAACAAAGAACUCAGAGGAGUUCACCAUCAUCUGGGCAAAACCAGUCAAUUUAGGGAAGGAAGUUCGCAAAGGAGGAAAAUACAAAAUGAAUCUUACAGAGUGUUAAAGAUUUAGGGGCACCUGGCUGGCUUAGUUGGAGCAUGUGACUCUUAAUCUCAGGGUUGUGAGUUUAAGCCCAAUGUUGGGUGUGGAGCCUAUUUUUAAAAAAGGGAUAUUAAAGAUUCAGAUAAAUGGAAAGGAAAGAGAAAAUAGAGUCCUUUAUUUUUAUUUAUUUAUUUUUUAAAUAGAGUCCUUUAAAUGAAUGGAAUAUUGUGAGCACAGCCAUGGAGGAACGAAUCUAUGUGAUGAAUUUAAGGAAUUAUGAAUAUACAUGUCUAGUUGACAUUCAGUGCAUAUAUAUAUAUAUAUAUAUAUAUAUAUAUAUAUAUAUAUAUAUUAGGGACUCCACACACACGCUUCCCCUCUCCCACCCUGGGUGUCACCUAGAAUUAUCAUCGUAUCUCUUUGCCAUUAAAGCAAGUGAGAAUGAUUGGUGGUAAUGUGAGAACUUAUGAUUUUUCUGUUAACUUAAUAGUAAUUGGUAUUCACUGAGUUCUUACUCUAUGUUAAGCAUUUUACAUAGGAACCCACCUAAGCCUGCAAUUCAGAACAACCCUGCAAAAUCGGUAUUAUUAUCCCUGUUUUAAAGAUAAGGUUUAAUGAGGUCAAGUAACUUGCCAAACUACCAUAUACAGAGUUCACAUUCAGAACUGUGAUCAUAAAGCUCCUGAUCUAAAAGCACUAAAUCACAAUAUUGCGAUCAAUGUUGCAGUAUUACCACUUCAAUAUUCCUCAAUAGUUUUUUACGGUAAACAAAUAGGUCAUUCAGUUAUCCCUUCAAUCUUUUCUGUUUUCUGCUAAAAUCAUGGAAAGAAUUUUCAUGAUAGAAAAUUGAAAGAAUUGGGUAAUAGAGUUUAUCAGCAUUUUAGGCGUUUUUAUGUUGUUGCUGCUUUUUUUUUUUUUUGCCAGACGUUGAGGAAAUUGUUCACUGUGUUCUGCAUGAAAUCUCAAAUUCUUGAGAAUUAAAAAAAGAGGGGGGCACUUAAAGGUCAUCUGUUGCAAUGUGCUUUUCUACAGAUGACAAAUCAAAGUUACAGCGACUUACGGAAGAUCACACAUUUGAGUGUGGCUGAGCUAGGUCCAGAAACCAGGCUGUCCAGUCUCCUUUCAGAGGCUCUUGAACUACUCCACCCUGCCUAAAUGAAGGACAAAUUUGAAUUUGAUCAAAGAAAGCAUUGUUUCUGGAUGAUCAUUGCACCUAGUAGAUUGUUUCAGUUUUUCACCUCUUUGGCUUCCCACCUCAAUGUGAAAAAUAGCCCGUUAUGAACUAACAUCUUUUGAUGCAUAAACUGUCAAUAAUCCAUCCCCAGAGAACACAUAAUCGCUCAGGUUAUGUGUAUAAUGUCUUCAAUGACAUUCUUAAGUUAUUUGAAAUUCUUAGCUCAACUAAACAAAUCGGAUCUUCUAAUGAGCCUUUUCUUACCCAAUUUUAUGCACAGUAUGUAUUUGUAAGUGCUUCUGCAUGAAUAUUUAUACAUGACUGUUUCAAUAGUCCUUAUGUUUUUGAAAAUAUCAAUGGUUAUUUGCUAUUUUAAUCCUCACUUAUCCAUGUAACAAACUCAAGAAUACUUCAGCCCUAAAAAGCUAGAAUUGAGGAAAUCUCACUCUUCUUUACCAGCUCCUUUGCAUUUAGUUGGCAUUUAGUAAUGAUUAAUAAAGUGGUCAGCUGGAUAACACAGGGGUUCAAUAUACAAUUCUGUCUUGAAGGAGUCAGUUAAGCUAAAUCUACUUAAGGAUAAACAUUUAGACGUUUGAAAGUACCUGAAUAUUUGACUGUUGUAAAUUUCCAUGUAAAAAUCUGGCAUUGUCAGACUUAGACCUCCUUUUAGCUCAGGUUGUCCUGUUUUCAAAAUGAUGAUUAUUGGCUGCAUCUCACACAGUUCUCAUUAAGUGAGUUCAUAAAUAAACAGGGUUUUUUAAAGAGUAGCCAAGCACAAGAUGUGACUUUGUUGACAUUUUAUGAGACUUUGUCAUAUGUCCCUUGAAUCCCCAAUAAAAGCAAUGUUGUAUCAACUGUGAA